CUGAGCAUGCGCACUUUCACCGCUUCAUUUUUAAAAACAGUGAUAACCAAACUUGCAGUGAAAUUUAGCUCGAUCCAGAUUCCAGAACAAAGAAAAAGAGUCUUGUAUAAAAAUCCACAGAUCCAAUGUGUCUGAGGUUGAGGAAUGCAUUGCAGUAACACUUAAGCAUGCACCAGCUAGCUCAAAAAGAUGGACCAAGAUAUAAAAAGAGACCUGAAACCAACACAAGACCAGCUGAUCAGAGGGCAGAAAACCAAAAUUUGGAAUGACAUGUAUACAACCAACACAAGACUAAAAUUUGGAAUAAAAAUUAAAAAAUUCAGAAACAUAUUAUUAUUUUUUUAUUGGUUCAUGAAGCCAAGAAAAAAGAAGUCUUAACUUUUGGAUAGGUCUAUCUCUAGUUGGUCAAUGGAAAAAAGCAACAGUUAGUUUGAUUGUAUUUCAGGUAUUUUCUUCAUUUGGGAUAUUUUUAGAAGUGUAUAAGUUGUGUAGAAUAUAUAUUUGUAAAUUAGACAGUCAGCUUUUGGGCCUUUUUCCAAACUUUUUUCCUAGCUUGUCAUUGUGUAGUGAAUCCAGCUGAAUGAAUCUACAGUAAAUAUUAAGGUAUAUGUGGUAGUUUGUUGUAUUUCUGAAUAACUCAUUAGAAAAUGUUUUCCUUCGUUAAAGUGAAAUCUACAUUCUAGAAUUUCCACCAUCAUAGUGAAAUCUAUAUUCUAGAACACUGAAACCCUAAACAUUCAGAAGUUGCAGCAUGUACCAAGAUGUCAUGUUGAAGGCUGUACAGUUACCUAUAAUUGCUAACAUCAUCAAUAUUUGAUUUUAGGAUAGAGGGUUGUCUCGUUGGCCAUCAUACAAAAUCUCCUUUUUCGAAUAGUAUUAUGUGUUAAAUUUUUUAAAGAAAAGUUGCUUUUGUUAAAUGGAAAUGUGUAAAUCUUGUACUUCAGUAUUGCAAAAGUUAAAAACUAAGACUUUAACCUUAAACAACUGUGUGAAACAUUAAUUGGACAAAACUACAGGUUUAAUGUAAAUUAUAAUGCAAAGUUUUUGGGAA